AAUCAGAGUAGGCGUAGAGAUAUCAUUGACCAAAAUGAAAAACUAAUUGAGUAGAAGUCGACAAGAGCGGGGACAAGCCAUAAGUUAAAUUCGGGUCAGCCUGCAGAACGAGACGCAGAAAAACCCUCUGGAGGUGUCUCAGCGAUGUCUUUCUGCCUGCAGCUUCAAUAUCCAUUAGGACUUGGCUCCCUCCCUUCUGGGGCUUCACAAAGCGUAUUAUGAUAAUUGGAAAUUAUAUAUAAAAAUGAUGACUUAGCGGCCAAGGGCCUAGAGACAAUCAUCUCCGGCCAAACUAGAAUUUCUGCCGCACUAAUCUGAUUAUUAAUGGUAUAAGUAUAAGUCUAAGUUUAAGUAUAAGGCAUAAGAAAGGAAGCUAAAGAUGGAGCAGAACAAGA